rnacentral:rRNA from 1 species
GUGCCAGCAGCCGCGGUAAUACGGAGGGUGCAAGCGUUAUCCGGAUUCACUGGGUUUAAAGGGUGCGUAGGUGGGUCUGUAAGUCCGUGGUGAAAUCUCCGAGCUUAACUUGGAAACUGCCAUGGAUACUAUAGGUCUUGAAUAUUGUGGAGGUCAGCGGAAUAUGUCAUGUAGCGGUGAAAUGCUUAGAUAUGACAUAGAACACCAAUUGCGAAGGCAGCUGGCUACGCAUAUAUUGACACUGAGGCACGAAAGCGUGGGGAUCAAACAGGAUUAGAUACCCGCGUAGUCC